GCCGAUUGUCGCCCACCUGGUAGGUACAUUCACUUUCGUUUAUUACGCAAUCUCCAUGAGUCCCACAUAUCCCAUGUUUUCAAGGACGUAUGGUUAGGUGGGAAUAGUGUUUUUAAUCCUUUCUCAUACGAGCAUUGUGUAUCCAGAUCUGUGAGUAUUCGUUGUACACGGGGGGGGCUGUUUGUUUCCAGCUUUGGGCGAUUGAUC